CUUUCCCCCUUCUUCCUCUUUUCCUCUCCAUCUGCUUCAUUGUCUCCCAUCUUCCUCUUUUCAUCUCCAUCCUUUUCCUCUCCAUCUCCCUUCUUUCAGCACCACCUCCCCUUUCCCACUAUAUUUGCCUACACUGCAUUUCCCCCUUAUUUCCCCCAAACCCAGACUACCUGGGCUCUGCUAGUCUCCUCCCACCCCAGGUGUGUCCACUUUGCCCUGCCUGCCCACUCCCCUUUAUAAUCAGCCCCAGGAAAGGCAGAAGCCCUCAGCUUGCCCAACUGGGCAGAGGGAUCCUCCUCCUGGCAUCACCGAGAACAUUGUACGCAAGGAGAACGAUCGUUUAAAAGACAGGGUUUGAGUGCAGAUCGGGAAUGAAGACAACAAGCAGUGAAGUCCAGGCACUGUUAAGAGGUCAUUACACCUUAUUUGUGGAAUGAUGAGUUGAAUUCUUGGGGAAUAAUGUAACCAAAAUGUAAUGGUGAAAAGUGCUCCCUUUGCUCUUCUUCACAAUUGCAUGGUGUCAGAGCAGGAACCUAGAUGCUGGACCUGUGCUGGAAACAGGAAGGUCAGAGAGAACAAAUCAAACAUGCCUCUGGUGCUAAAGACUGCAACAGCACAACUGAAAGGCUCAUUUGAAGGGGUAGAGCUGUGGGAGUCCCACUGGCAGUUGCAUUUGCACCAACUUUAUGUGAGUGAUAGAUGAGAGAGCCAAAUAAUCACUUGCUGUGAACCACCUGCCUUGAAGACCACUCAGCAUUUGGGUAAGGCGAAUGUGUUGUUACUGUGGGGAAGGAAUUGGCAAGGAGCCCUCUCUCCCUAAAGCAGAAGGACACAGAAGCCCUGCAAAUGAGAUCUUAAUGUGAAGAAAUAGGAGGACUGGAUGGCUCAAUUCGCCAGAAGAACAUUUUUUGAGGAGGAGUGGCAAGAGAGGCAAGAAAAUUGUUUCUUUUUGGGCAAGUUCAUGACUCAAUGGAACAGCAGGGUGUACUUUGUAGAAAUCAGGACUGAGAAUUAUGCUGAUCCUAGGACAUUGAUGCUGAAUUGUGAGUGCUCAGCUAAAUAAGUCAUUGUUCAGCAUUGCCCAGUUGGUCUUAGUACUCUCAUUUCCUCCUACUGAGAGCAUUAAAAGAUCAUUCACAGGAGACAA